ensembl:lncRNA
UGGGGUGGAAAGGUAGGUCUACUCUGUCUGGGGUGGAAAGGUAGGCCUACUCUGUCUGGGGUGGAAAGGUAGGCCCUACUCUGUCUGGGGUGGAAAGGUAGGUCUACUCUGUCUGGGGUCGAAAGGUAGGUCUACUCUGUCUGGGGUGGAAAGGUAGGCCCUACUCUGUCUGGGGUGGAAAGGUAUGCCUACUCUGUCUGGGGUGGAAAAGUAGGUCCUACUCUGUCUGGGGUGGAAAGGUAGGUCUACUCUGUCUGGGGUGGAAAGGUAGGUCCUACUCUGUCUGGGGUGGAAAGGUAGGUCUACUCUGUCUGGGGUGGAAAGGUAGGUCUACUCUGUCUGGGGUGGAAAGGUAGGUCUACUCUGUCUGGG